rnacentral:rRNA from 1 species
CCUACGGGGUGCAGCAGUGGGGAAUAUUGGACAAUGGGCGAAAGCCUGAUCCAGCCAUGCCGCGUGUGUGAAGAAGGCCUUCGGGUUGUAAAGCACUUUCAGUGGGGAAGAAAGCCUUGGGGCUAAUACCCUCGAGGAAGGACAUCACCCACAGAAGAAGCACCGGCUAACUCCGUGCCAGCAGCCGCGGUAAUACGGAGUGUGCGAGCGUUAAUCGGAAUUACUGGGCGUAAAGCGCGCGUAGGCGGUCUGAUAAGCCGGUUGUGAAAGCCCCGGGCUCAACCUGGGAACGGCAUCCGGAACUGUCAGGCUAGAGUGCAGGAGAGGAAGGUAGAAUUCCCGGUGUAGCGGUGAAAUGCGUAGAGAUCGGGAGGAAUACCAGUGGCGAAGGCGGCCUUCUGGACUGACACUGACGCUGAGGUGCGAAAGCGUGGGUAGCAAACAGGAUUAGAUACCCCGGUAGUC